AUGACCUGGGCACUCCUCUUCCUCAGUCUGCUCAGUCAGGACUCAGGGACCUGGGCCCAGAAUGCCCUGAUUCAGCUUCCCUCAGUGUCUGGGACUCGGGGACAGACAGUCACCAUCUCCUGUACAGGAACCAGCGAUGGCAUUGGAAGAUAUAAUCUUGUCUCCUGGUACCAGCAACAGGAGGGCAAGGUCCCCAAAAUGCUGAUUUAUGAGGUCAACCAUCGGCCAUCAGGGAUCCCUGAUCGCUUCUCUGGCUCCAAGUCUGGCAACACAGCAACCCUGACCAUCUCUGGGCUCAUGCCUGAGGAUGAGGCUGAUUACUACUGCUCAGUCUACAGUGCUCAGACUGGAUUUAUCAUUCCUAGACCUAGCAGGGUCCUGAUCUAG